AUUGAACGCUGGCGGCAGGCCUAACACAUGCAAGUCGAACGAGUGGCGGACGGGUGAGUAAUGUAUGGGAAACUGCCUGCUGGAGGGGGAUAACUACUGGAAACGGUAGCUAAUACCGCAUCCCAUCAGAUGAGCCCAGAUGGGAUUAGCUAGUUGGUGGGGUAACGGCUCACCACGGCGACGAUCCCUAGCUGGUCUGUGAGGAUGACCAGCCACACUGGACCGUAGGCACGGUCCAGACUCCUUCGGGAGGCAGCAGUGGGGAAUAUGGCACAAUGGGCGCAAGCCUGAUGCUGCCAUGCCGCGUGUGUGAAGAAGGCCUUCGGGUUGUAAAGUACUUUCAGCGGGGAGGCGUUACCCGCAGAAGAAGCACCGGCUAACUCCGUGCCAGCAGCCGCGGUAAUUC
rnacentral:rRNA from 1 species